AAGCUGUGUUGGAUUCCGUUGUGGACUGAUGGUACUUCACUGUAUGGUGUGUACCACCACGCUCUACAACCGCUUAAAAGUUGUGAGCUCCACCAGCUCGCCUGGGAUGCUCUUGACCGAGUGUCCUGAGUGGCUGGUAUGUUUACUUUGAAAAAAUUAGAGUGCUCAGAGCAGGUAUAUUUAUUGCCUGAAUGUCUAUGCUAGAAUAAUGGAAUAUGACCUCGGUUCUAUUUUGUAGGUUUUCUUUGGAAUCCGAGGUAAUGACUAAGAGAGACAAACGGGGGCAUUUGUACUGUGACGCUAGAGGUGAAAUUCUUGGACCGUCAGAUGACAAACAACUGCGAAAGCAUUUGCCAAGUAUGUUUUCAUUAAUCAAGAACGAAAGUUAGAGGUUCGAAGGCGAUCAGAUACCGCCCUAGUUCUAACCAUAAACGAUGCUAACCAGCAAUCUGCCAGAGUUAUUCCAAUGACUUGGCGGGCAGCUUCCGGGAAACCAAAGUCUUUGAGUUUCGGGGGAAGUAUGGUUGCAAAGCUGAAACUUAAAGGAAUUGACGGAAGGGCACCACCAGGAGUGGAGCCUGCGGCUUAAUUUGACUCAACACGGGAAAUCUCACCAGGCCCAGACACUGGAAGGAUUGACAGAUUGAGAGCUCUUUCUUGAUUCAGUGGGUGGUGGUGCAUGGCCGUUCUUAGUUGGUGGAGUGAUUUGUCUGGUUAAUUCCGAUAACGAACGAGACUCUGGCCUAUUAACUAGUCGACGGAUUUCCAUACAUUGGUGUCCAGUUCGCAACUUCUUCUUAGAGGGAUAAGCGGUAUGUCCUAGCCGCAUGAGAUUGAGCAAUAACAGGUCUGUGAUGCCCUUAGAUGUUCUGGGCCGCACGCGCGCUACACUGAAGGGAUCAGAGUGUUUUCCCCCUCCGAGAGGAGUGGGUAACCAGAUGAACCCCCUUCGUGAUAGGGAUUGGGGCUUGCAAUUUUUUCCCAUGAACGAGGAAUUCCCAGUAAGCGCAAGUUAUUAGCUUGCGUUGAUUACGUCCCUGCCCUUGUACACACCGCCCGUCGCUACUACCGAUUGGAUGAUUUAGUGAGGCCUUUGGACUGUCACUCUUGGAUUGGAGACGGAAAGAUGUCCGAACUGAUCAUCAGAG
rnacentral:rRNA from 1 species